CUUCCUGGAGGCUUCUCUUGCACGGUAUGUCCUGCCUCUUCUAAACUAAGGUUUAAUCUAAACUGUGUCCUUUUUGGCUUUUUUUCCAGGUACCAUCAUUUGAUCCAGGACGGUCUUUUUAUGGACCAUCAAAUGCCAUCACUGGGGGCCACAGUUAAAGUUGUGUUUCUUGUGAAAGUCCCAAAUGAAAGGCCAGAGGAACUCCUGCAAAGCUGCCACGCAGGCAGAGAUGCCAACCACAGACGGGCGCUCUGUCCACAGCUCUGCCUGAGGAUCAGCGACACACCCGUCGGGUGUAUCAGUUUACCUGGGUGAAGCUGAACUCCUGUCUCACGUUUUUCAAGUGAGAUGUCAUCGCUCCCAUUCGCUCUUCAAAGUCAGUCAGCUGAUUUUGCAGGUUCGCUUUUUCUUUCUCCAUCUUCUGCAGCUAUUUAAGAGUUAGAACUGUCAACGAACCGUUUGAGGGGAGUGCUUUUUACCUGCAAUUUCUUGUUCACAGAAACCAAGUGAAAGGUUUAAACAUUUUUAACAAGCAGCAAAAGCGCCAGACCCAUUAAGUACUGCUUCUGCUCGAGGUAACCAGGAUUGCCCCAGACUCAGACGGCGGGCCGGCAUCCAGCACCGGCCAGCACCCAAACGUAUCCCAGGCGCUCCUGAGCUCCGCGGGCCGACCUGACAGAGCCUCCCGCGCACCCACCGCCGUGUGUGAACCUCAGCUCUGCCCCACAGCCACAGCCCCACAGCCGCAGCCCCGCGCUCACGUCUUCCUCCAGCGCCCUGUUCUCCGCGUUGGCCAUGGGCACGGCGUAGCCAUCGUCCCACUGGAGCUCGGCCAGCACCGAAGCGGUGGAGCGGCUGGCGGUGCUCUGCAUGGCCGCAGGUACGAGGGGAGGGCGGCCGAGUGCCUUAGCAACCGCGUGCCCCGGUAACCAAACGGGAAGUGCGGAGCCGGGAGCCGCCUCCCGCCCCGCCCGCCCGCCUCGCGGGAAGAGCGGCUGUGCGCGCGGCGCUCUUCGCGCCUCAGGGCUUGCGUUUCGCAGCGGACCGGCUUCUGUGUUUGUCUGAGAAGAAAGAAGUUUGUCUUCUGUGUGACGAGACCUCAAAAAUACAGCAGAUGGAUGUACCAAGACUGGUAACACAAUGGAAGAAACAAAAAUAGGAAGAGACUGAGGAAACAGCAGUGAAUGAAAAAACUUCACUUCUACAGAUCAGGCCUGUCCAGCAACGUUCAUUUCUACCUUCAGUCUGCUCAAUUACUCCCUAAGACAGUACAGACGUGGCCAAGGCUCUGCUCACAGGCCUCCAAUGAAGCACACUGCCAGACAUGACAAGCUAAGGAUUCCCAACAAAGUAAGCUGUCGAGGCCACCUGAAGAGGGAUAAUGAAAGUGAUUACAUCAGCAAAGAGGAAGGAACAAUCCAGGCAUUCUUCACAAUGCAAAAAGAAGCCCAUGCCCUAGGCUGCAAACUGCUCAGAAGCUCCACAAUUAGAUGUGCUGAAGUUUCUAUCUUCUGAUGAAUGCCGGGUGCCACUUCGACUGCAAAGCAUACUAUGAGCUUUAAGUCUGUUGAGGUCCUGUGUAACUUCACGGCUGCAAGUCAGUGAAGUCUAUGAGAUCAGAGUCUUCUGAGCAUUAGGCAUGGCUUCACCACUUGUCCUGUAGGUAUGAGUACCUGCUGGGGAGGAUGCUCCAGGGAGAAAGUGAUUCCAUGGAAAUAGUAUUUUGUCCUAUUAAAAUGAGAUUCCCAUUGAACUUAACACUGUGGUGGUAAUUUUGCAAGAUGUGGAUAUGCAUUCUCUUUUACUUCUCUGUAGGCAGGUUCACAGGCAAAGCUGUUCUACUGGUGGGAUGAAAAAGCACAGUGAAAGUCAGGGCACCUUAUCCUUCACCCACGUAACAUCUCUCUGUGCCUUCUCUUCUUUGAAUAGAUUCUUUUCAGCCUUGCACAAUUCUUGAUGGUACUCAUCCCAUUAGCUGGUGCCAGCUAAUGUUGCUGAUGGUACGAGGGCAAGGACUGCUGCUGCCUUCUCUGCAGUAAUGUCUAGAUGUAUAGUAAUAGUGUUCUGCCCACCAGUUAGCUUGUUAGCUGAAUAGCAGCUAUAUACUGCAAGAGACUAAUCACCACAUCCAUUGUUUUGUCUGUUCCCUA
rnacentral:lncRNA from 1 species